rnacentral:rRNA from 1 species
GACGAACGCUGGCGGCGUGCUUAACACAUGCAAGUCGAACGAAGUGGCGAACGGGUGAGUAAUACGUGGGUAACCUGCCCUCCUUAUUGGGGUAAGCCUUGGAAACGGGGUCUAUGACCGUAUAUAGGGGGAUGGGCUCGCGGCCUAUCAGCUUGUUGGUGGGGUGCUGGGCUACCAAGGCGGUGACGGGUAGCCGGCCCGAGGGGUGGCACGGCAACAGUGGGACUGCGCAGCGGCCCAGACUACGACGGGAGGGAGCAGUGGGGGGUAUUGCCGAAGGGGCGAAAGCCUGAUGCAGCGUGGCCGCAGGGGGGAUUAAGGUUGUCGGGUUGUAUACCUCUUUCGGUAUCGAAAGGGUAGGUGGAGAAGAAGCGCCGGCUAACUACGUGCCAGCCGCCGCGGUAAUAC